GGUUUUGUUUUCAAAGCAACGAACUAUGCAAUUGAAAGAGAGCUAUCUACCUAUAUUUCUGUCGGAAUCACCCAGCUAGAGAGGAGUACAAAAAGAGUGUGGAUGUUUGCAUGUUGUACUGGAGUAUCUUAAGGCACAUAUCUGGAGUGGAUCCAUACCUGCUGGACAGAGAACUGAAUGCUCCUUUGAAGAGGAAUACAACAUCAAUAAAGCAUCUGUUUCAAGAACUCAGUGGACUGAAGAGGGGUAUGCAGGAAUGACUACACUGAAAGACUUCAAGGAUUCAUACAGAGCAUUUCAAAUCUUGAAAUUUCUUAUUCUGGAGUGUAUUAUGUGACCAAUUAGAUGUACAGAUCUCUUCAGUAAAAUAAAGGAAUAUUCACUUUGCUUU
rnacentral:lncRNA from 7 species